rnacentral:lncRNA from 1 species
CGGCACUUCCGGGUUGGCCUUCUCCAUGUUGGUCUCGGGAACGUGAAGGGGCGGGGCCUCGAGGUCAGGGGUCAGCGCCUCCCUGGUUGCCGUGGCGACUGGAGCACGCGACGCGGGCGCGAUGGCGGGGACUCUAGGCCCGGGACUUGAUGCUGCUUGGGCCUGGCCCAGUGGCGGGUCCUGGGGACGUGGCAGAGGCCGGCAGAUGGAGAUUCAGAAACAUAAGGACAACAAGAAACUUUCCCAAGAAAAUGAAGGAGGUUUUUCAAAGAACCCUAUUCCAAGUAUGAAGUGUGUGGCAUGAAUUUCUAAGACUAGAGUUUUCAUCUCAUGGAAAAUUCAGAAUCAGAAUCAAAAACAGCUGAGGUAGUUACUCGGGUGCCUUCCUUCAGCUUAUUCAAAAGAACAUAGGAUGAACGGUAAGAAUUCAGUAAACCACAAAUUAUUUUGGAGUAUCUGGUUUAUAUUAUAAAUAAAUUUUUCACUGCUG